UACAGAGGUCUCAAGCGUUGUUCGGAUUCAUUGGGCGUAAAGGGCGCGUAGGCUGCGGGGCAAGUCGGGUGUGAAAUCUCAGAGCUCAACUCUGAAACUGCACUCGAUACUGCUUUGCUUGAGGACUGGAGAGGAGAUUGGAAUUCACGGUGUAGCAGUGUAAUGCGUAGAUAUCAUUUGGAACGCCAAUGGUGAAAACAGGUAGCUGGGGUUGUGCUGACGCUGAGACACGAAAGCCAGGGGAGCGAACGGG
rnacentral:rRNA from 1 species